rnacentral:rRNA from 1 species
UGGGGAAUAUUGGACAAUGGGCGAAAGCCUGAUCCAGCCAUGCCGCGUGUGUGAAGAAGGUCUUCGGAUUGUAAAGCACUUUAAGUUGGGAGGAAGGGCAGUAAGCGAAUACCUUGCUGUUUUGACGUUACCGACAGAAUAAGCACCGGCUAACUCUGUGCCAGCAGCCGCGGUAAUACAGAGGGUGCAAGCGUUAAUCGGAAUUACUGGGCGUAAAGCGCGCGUAGGUGGUUCGUUAAGUUGAAUGUGAAAGCCCCGGGCUCAACCUGGGAACUGCAACCAGAACUGGCGAGAUAGAGUAGGGCAGAGGGUGGUGGAAUUUCCUGUGUAGCGGUGAAAUGCGUAGGUAUAGGAAGGAACACCAGUGGCGAAGGCGACCACCUGGGCUCAUACUGACACUGAGGUGCGAAAGCGUGGGGAGCAAACAGG